rnacentral:rRNA from 1 species
GUAAGGAAUAUUGGACAAUGGGCGAAAGCCUGAUCCAGCAAUGCCGCGUGAGUGAUGAAGGCCCUAGGGUUGUAAAGCUCUUUUACCCGGGAUGAUAAUGACAGUACCGGGAGAAUAAGCUCCGGCUAACUCCGUGCCAGCAGCCGCGGUAAUACGGAGGGAGCUAGCGUUGUUCGGAAUUACUGGGCGUAAAGCGCGCGUAGGCGGUUUUUUAAGUCAGAGGUGAAAGCCCGGGGCUCAACCCCGGAAUUGCCUUUGAAACUGGAAAACUUGAAUCUUGGAGAGGUCAGUGGAAUUCCGAGUGUAGAGGUGAAAUUCGUAGAUAUUCGGAAGAACACCAGUGGCGAAGGCGACUGACUGGACAAGUAUUGACGCUGAGGUGCGAAAGCGUGGGGAGCAAACAGGAUUAGAAACCCCUGUAGUCC